GGAGCUUGAUCAGCAUGAAAUAUCAACAAGCAUCCACAUGUUAUAUGUGAGGAUAAAGUCUGAAAUCUAAAAACAAAAGCACUCUUCUCCCAAAAGAGCAGUCUCCACAUGUGUUGGGCUCCAGCUGGGAAUCAAUGGGCAUGCUGCCUAAAGUGGAUGGGAAUUGUGACCCAAAACUACUGGAGAAGAUGAUUCUGGGGAUGGCAGAGUACUUCACGUGCCUUUAUCCAUGAUUUUGGGAGAUAAAUGUCAAUGCUCGGUGAAGGACCAUCCACAGGAAUGCUCCUUACUCCACAUCACUGAAGCGAUUCAACAUAGGUAAAUUUG
rnacentral:lncRNA from 11 species